AGGCCUGACCAUUUGUCCUUGAGCCGCAGAUGGUCAACAAUCCGCUAGCUGUCUUGCUCUGACUGGUGCACUGGACAUGAUUUCAAUAGUCAGCCAGACCAUGAUUGAGCUUAAGGAUUGUGCUGCGGAUGCGGCCUGUGCAGUUCCGGGAGAAAGUCAAUGUUUUGGGCAAUGCGGUCUGGUAUCGGGUCUGGAUGAUCCUUGCCUGACUGCGGGUUUGUGUACACCUCAAUCCGACUCGGUGUCCUGAACAGAGGCCUCAGUGGUGCAGCGCUUGUGGACGAUCCAUCAACAUCCUGAAAGGUCAACACUUAACCAAGCUGGAAAAAUUGAUCCUGAUAGUCAUCCCCAGGUAGUGGAAUGAAUGUACACUGAACUACAAAGGAAUCACACCCAAAUGACUUUCCUGCCACGACAUUAGUGUGGCCCCUCGCGUAGGAAUUCCUUAGCAAACAUGCUCUUUUGCAUGGUGACUGUGGGCAUUUUUACAAAACUUAAGCUUUCAACACUGGAUUUUAAAGAGAAUACUUAAUA